GACAGAGGGGGCAAGCGUUGCUCGGAAUUACUGGGCGUAAAGGGCGCGUAGGCGGGAUGGCAAGUCGGUCGUGAAAUCCCUCGGCUCAACCGAGGAACGUCGAUCGAUACUGCUGUUCUUGAGGAUUGCAGAGGAGACUGGAAUUCCCGGUGUAGCGGUGAAAUGUGUAGAGAUCGGGAGGAACACCGGUGGCGAAGGCGGGUCUCUGGGCAAUUCCUGACGCUGAGGCGCGAAGGCGUGGGGAGCGAACGGG
rnacentral:rRNA from 1 species